AUGUUAAACUACAAUGGCACGGAGUAUCUGGGAUCUACGACAUUCGGUAAAGCAAUUCAAGCUCAUGACCUGCAUACAGGUGUGGAUGUUUGUAUUAAAAUUAUAAAGAACAACAAGGAUUUCUUUGAUCAAAGCCUUGAUGAGAUCAAACUCCUCAAGUAUGUCAAUAAGCAUGAUCCCGGAGACAAGUAUCACAUUUUGCGGUUAUAUGAUUACUUCUACUAUAGAGAACAUUUGUUAAUAGUAUGUGAGUUACUCAAGGCCAACUUAUAUGAGUUUCAUAAAUUCAACAGAGAAUCAGGAGGGAUAUUUACUUUACAAUGCUAA